GCCAAUCCCAGUCUAUGUGGAUUGCGCAACUCGGCGGAGGGCUGGAGGAGGGGCCCUUCCUCUUCAUCUUCCCUUCCUCCGUCUUCUUCCCUCCCCACUCCAUGGGCCCCCAGCCUCUCUCUUCUUCCACCACCUUCUGUGUUCUUCGAUCUCGCUCUCCUUCCUCCUUUCCUCUCUCCUCCAUUCCUCUCCUUCCCUUACGCGUUGCAAUCCUCUUCUCUCAGCCUCUUCCGUGUUCUCCUUUCUUCUCAUCUCUAUUUAUCCCACCCCAAGCCCCUUCUUCCUCCUCCCUAAGGCCUCCUCCCCUUCUACCCUUCUUCCUCUCCAUCUUCUCUCAUCUUCCUAUUUUCUAUUCCUCCCUCGUUCCCUCCACACAGUGAGCUGAGCUGCAGAGCUCUCCACCCCUUCCCCUCCCCUCCAGAAGGAUAACUUAAGUCAGCACUCAGAUGAGUCAGGCUGGCCAAGGCUGGCCCCCUAACCCAGUGUUUGCUCUUCGGAUUUGGAAGGGGAAGAGGUGGAAAGAAGGAAGCAUUUCAUUUGGAAAGGGGCAGACUGGGAAUCACUGUUGACUUUGUAGCCUGGUUAUCUGCAGUCAGGCCCCGUGAAAGGCUGGCUCUGGAGGCCCAGCUCUAGAAUUACACAGAGUGUAAUUUUCAGCUCCAAGCCAUAGGAAAGCCCUGAAACCUUUGCAAGAGUUCUUAGCUCUCUCCCCAUGAUAGGGUCUCAUGUAGCCCAAGCUGGCUUCCAAUUUACUAUGUAGCAGAGGAUAGCCCUGAACUCCUGAUACUCCACACUCCACCUCCCAAAUGCAGGUGUGUGCCACCAGGCCAGGCCUUCAGAUGACCCUGAAAGACAUGAAAAAAUUCCAGAGAUUUCGGGCAUCACACCCCCUGGAAGGGAAGCGACAAGAGAUUGUGAGCUGCCUGACCUGAGUGCUGAGAACUGAACUCGGGUCCUCUUGAAAGCGGCAAGUGCUCUAACCACCGAACCGUCUCUCUCGCCCCUGUUGUUUGACUGAUUAGUUGAUUAGAGUUGGGCUUUGGGGUUUUUUUGUGUGUAUGGUUUUCGGUGUUUUUUGGUUUGUUUUUUUUGUUGUUGUUGUUGUUGUUUUUUCCGAGACAGGGUUUCUCUGUGUAGCUCUGGCUGCCUUAGAACUCACUCUCUAGGCCAGGGUGGCCUCAAACUCAAGAGAUCUGCCUGCCUCUGCCUCCCGAGUGCUGGGCUUAGAGACUUGCGCCACCAUUGUUGGUAUUCUGUCUAAGCUCCACCCCCACAGUUGCUUGGCAACAGCCAGCUGUGCCUGACUAUAAAGGGGGCAGCUUACCCCCUCCUCUCCCUCUUACUCCUCUCUUGCUUUCUCUUGCUCUUCCUCUUCCCGUGCCCUCUUCCCUGUCACUUCUCUCCCCAUCCCCGCUUCCCUCCGCGUGCACAUGGCCGGCCUCCUUUCCUCUCUUCUACUCUUCUUCUCUCUAUUAAGCCUCUCCACGAGGAACCAUGUUGGCUUGCCGUGCUUCGUCCAGGCGCGGGCUGAGAUUUAAACCCCAACAUUGAUCCUAACAUUGGUGAGCUGUACGGGGAUCGAACCGUGUGAAUAUAUCGUUUAUUCAUAUGAAAUUACUACCCAAGACCCAAGCAUGGUGGUGCAUGGUCUCUAAUCCCAAAACAGAGAAGGCAGACUGAUGUCCGAGUUGUAGCUCAGUCAACACUACACAGUGAGUUCCAGGCUAGUCAGACCUACAUAGCAAAUCCUGCCUGCCUCAAAAACAAAGGAAAGGAAGAAAAAGGAGGAAGGAAGGAAGAUAUCAAUUACUACCAAUAAAGCGAAGUCAACCUUACACCUUCUCGAUCUGCAUUCCCGGCACCAUGGUGUCAAUCACCUAAGACGGUAACCGGAAGUAACUCCCCAGGACCCGCAACUCUUCUUUCUGCUCCUUGCUGAGGGCGCCCUCUACUGGCAUGAACAUGUAAAAAGGUUUGUUGGUCAGGGAACCUUGAUUCUGAGUACAAAUCCUGUCUGCCUACUCAGCUAAGAAAACACCAGUAAACAACUACAUAUCCGA